GACGUAGGGCGCGAGCGUUGUCCGGAUUUAUUGGGCGUAAAGAGCUCGUAGGCGGCUUGUUGCGUCGGCUGUGAAAUCCCAUGGCUCAACUGUGGGCUUGCAGCCGAUACGGGCGGGCUAGAGUUCGGUAGGGGAGACUGGAAUUCCGGGUGUAGCGGUGGAAUGCGUAGAGAUCCGGAAGAACACCGGUGGCGAAGGCGGUCUGCUGGGCAGUUGCUGACGCUGAUGCGCGACAGCGUGGGAGCAAACAGG
rnacentral:rRNA from 1 species